GCCCGGUUAGCUCAGUCGGUAGAGCAUCAGAAUUUUAAUGUAAGGGUCAAGGGUUCAAGUCCCUUAUUGGGCG
rnacentral:tRNA from 1 species